UGCACACAGAAUUCUGACUGCAUACCUGACUCUACUGUUUCUCUGAUCUUCUGUAACUCUGAAUCCUCUCUCUGAGACAUCUUGAUCUUUUCAAUCAGAGUAGGUUGCACUGUGAGGGUAGCCAAUUGUACCUUUGGAUCAUGUAGUCGUAUCUCAAUCCCUGAUCUCUCCAAAUCUAAUAAAAUCUGCUUUUGCGUAGUGAUCAAUGCUGCCAGCCCACUUGAGGAUUUUUUGCUCAAAGCAUCAGCCACUACAUUUGCUUUCCCUGGAUGGUAACUGAUAGUUAGGUCAUAAUCCUUCAGUAGCUAUAGCCACCUUCUUUGCCUCAAA
rnacentral:lncRNA from 1 species